rnacentral:rRNA from 1 species
UUAGGAAUCUUCCACAAUGGGCGAAAGCCUGAUGGAGCGACGCCGCGUGAGGGAUGAAGGCCUUAGGGUUGUAAACCUCUAAAAGAGGGACGAUAAUGACGGUACCUCUUGAAUAGCACCGGCUAACUCCGUGCCAGCAGCAGCGGUAAUACGGAGGGUGCAAGCGUUAUCCGGAAUCACUGGGCGUAAAGGGCGCGUAGGCGGUCUGUUAAGUCCGAUGUUAAAUCCCGGGGCUCAACCCCGGAUAAGCGUUGGAUACUGGCAGGCUAGACGGUUGGAGAGGCGAGUGGAAUUACCAGUGUAGCGGUGGAAUGCGUAGAUACUGGUAGGAACACCCAUUGCGAAGGCAGCUCGCUGGACAACACGUGACGCUGAGGCGCGAAAGUGUGGGGAGCAAACC